GUCCACGCCGUAAACGAUGGAUACUAGCUGUUCGGGAGCAAUUCUGAGUGGCUAAGCGAAAGUGAUAAGUAUCCCACCUGGGGAGUACGUUCGCAAGAAUGAAACUCAAAGGAAUUGACGGGGGCCCCGCACAAGCGGUGGAGCAUGUGGUUUAAUUCGAUGAUACGCGAGGAACCUUACCAGGGCUUAAAUGUAGUCUGACAGGACCGGAAACGGUUUUUUCUCGGACAGAUUACAAGGUGCUGCAUGGUUGUCGU
rnacentral:rRNA from 1 species